rnacentral:tRNA from 1 species
CGGGAUGUAGCUCAGUUCGGUUAGAGUACUGGUCUGGGGGACCAGGGGUCGCAAGUUCAAAUCUUGUCAUCCCGACUA